GAUGAACGCUGGCGGCGUGCUUAACACAUGCAAGUCGAACGGAAAGGCACUGCUAUCGUGGGGUGCUCGAGUGGCGAACGGGUGCGUAACACGAGUGUAACCUGCUCUACACUUUGGGAUAACUUCACGAAACUGGGGCUAAUACCGUACAGCAGCCCACGUUCCAUGGUGGGCGUUGGAACGUCUCGGCGGUUGGGGUUGGAUGAGCGGGUUAUCAGCUUGCUAGUGGGGUAGUGGAUUACCAAGGCAUGGACGGGUAGCCGGCCUGGGAGGGGGAACGGCGACAAUGGGACUGAGGGACGGCGCAGACGCGUACGGGAGACAGCAGUGGGAAGUAUUGCACAAUGAGCGGAAGUCUGAUGCAGCAGCGCCGCGUUCGGGAUGACGGCCUUUGGGGAGAGAACCGCAUUAGCCUGAGACGAAGCGUUAGUGACGGUAAUGAAUGAAGAAGCACCGGCUAACUACGUG
rnacentral:rRNA from 1 species